UAUAGAAAAAGGCAAACCUAUUGAAAAAUAGGGACGCAAAGUCACAGGUCUAAGGUAAUGAAUAAAAAUUACUAUGAUGGCUGGGCUGCCUGG
rnacentral:ncRNA from 1 species